CUGAAUUCAAGAACGUCAAUAAAAUCACAUCUCAUCCAUCACUUCAGCCUAGAGGUCACAAUGAGGUUCAUGAUAUUGAAGAUCUUGUAAAAGUUGGAAAAAAUGUUAGAGGCUGCCCAUAUUAUGCUUCCUGGUCAAUGGCAGAG